rnacentral:rRNA from 1 species
UCGCCUGUUUAUCAAAAACAUUGCCUUACGUUAACUUAUGUAAGGUUCAUCCUGCCCAGUGAUAUUUUCAACGGCCGCGGUACCCUGACCGUGCAAAGGUAGCAUAAUCACUUGCCUUCUAAUUAAAGGCUAGCAUGAACGGACAAACGAAAGUUUAACUGUCUCUCUCAGAUUUACUAUAAAUUAGCCUCUAGGUGAAGAGACCUAGAUUAUCCUAAAGGACAAAAAGACCCUGUCGAGCUUUACCUUCCCCUGUUUUAUACAUUAAUCCACCAUCAAACCACCAAAACAGAACAAGUUAAGUUGGGGCGACUUAGGACCACACAAAACGUCCCUCUAAUAAAAGAAAUCCAUCACACAAAUGAUCCGCCCUUCUAAGCGAACAACAAAAAUAGCUACCGCAGGGAUAACAGACUAAUCCUCCUAAAGAGUUCAAAUUGACAGGAGGGAUUGGCACCUCGAUGUUGGCUUAAGGCAUCUCUUGAGUGCAGCAGCCCAAGAAGUAGGUUUGUUCAACCUUUAAAGCCUUACGUGAUCUGAGUUCAGACCGGA